rnacentral:lncRNA from 1 species
ACCGGCUUUGAGUUAAUACGAUCAAGAAUGAUAUACUUCAUGUGUUUUCGAAAAUCAAACACGAUGACAGAGAUUGCAUGCAACUACGAAUAUGUGCGUGAGAUUUCUUGUUUUGACGUCGGCGGUUCAGGCUAAAUCAAUACGACGUCUCAUUUAAGAUAUUUUGUAUAUAAUUAUAGAGCCUGUGGCAAAAUAUAACUUUGGGGUCCUCGUGAUUUAGAAGCAUUGGAACUGUCUUUAUACUUGACUACAAAAAUGCAUGAAUUCGUACGACAUUUCAGAGAUUUUCCACGAUUGACUUUAAAAUCUCCAUAGCGUCCUUAUUUCUUGGAUGCAUCUUCAACGCACUAGAAAAAAGAUUUUGUUUUAGUUCUGUGCAAGGAGGCGUGGAAAAUUAACGGUAAAAUUCCUGGCAGCCCUCAGUGAAUAUACUCAGUAAUUGUUCAGUCACGUCGGGAGUUGAAAAACAGGGUUAUCUAUUGUCAUGAAGAACAC